rnacentral:rRNA from 1 species
CUGGCUCAGGAUGAACGCUGGCGGCGUGCUUAACACAUGCAAGUCGAACGAGAGCUACAGGAGGAAGUUUUCGGAUGGAAUCCGGUAGAUCGAGUGGCGGACGGGUGAGUAACGCGUGGGGAACCUGCCUCAUACAGGGGGAUAACAGUUGGAAACGACUGUUAAUACCGCAUAAGACCACAGAGUCGCAUGACUCAGGGGUAAAAACUCCGGUGGUA